CACGUAGGGGGCAAGCGUUGUCCGGAUUUAUUGGGCGUAAAGAGCUCGUAGGCGGUUCGGUAAGUCGGGUGUGAAACCUCCAGGCUCAACCUGGAGACGCCACCCGAUACUGCUGUGACUAGAGUCCGGUAGGGGAGCGUGGGAAUUCCUGGUGUAGCGGUGAAAUGCGCAGAUAUCAGGAGGAACACCAGCGGCGAAGGCGGCGCUCUGGGCCGGAACUGACGCUGAGGAGCGAAAGCGUGGGGAGCAAACAGG
rnacentral:rRNA from 1 species